GACGAACGCUGGCGGCGUGCUUAACACAUGCAAGUCGAACGGAAAGGCCCUGCUUUUGUGGGGUGCUCGAGUGGCGAACGGGUGAGUAACACGUGAGUAACCUGCCCUUGACUUUGGGAUAACUUCAGGAAACUGGGGCUAAUACCGGAUAGGAGCUCCUGCUGCACGGUGGGGGUUGGAAAGUUUCGGCGGUUGGGGAUGGACUCGCGGCUUAUCAGCUUGUUGGUGGGGUAGUGGCUUACCAAGGCUUUGACGGGUAGCCGGCCUGAGAGGGUGACCGGCCACAUGGGGACUGAGAUACGGCCCAGACUCCUACGGGAGGCAGCAGUGGGGAAUAUUGCACAAUGGGCGGAAGCCUGAUGCAGCAACGCCGCGUGCGGGAUGACGGCCUUCGGGUUGUAAACCGCUUUCGCCUGUGACGAAGCGUGAGUGACGGUAAUGGGUAAAGAAGCACCGGCUAACUACGUG
rnacentral:rRNA from 1 species